CCAAAUUUUUUAAAUUCUCCAACAUUUGUUCAACUAGUUCCUGAUUGAUUAUUCGAAUUCAGUGACCCAAAAAACAUAAAGAUAGAUAGGUCUGAUUUCUCGCGCAGACAACUUUUUUUAUUUUGUGUGCUGGUGUAAUUGUCAGAAUGAACAUAUUGUAUCGGAAACACUCCAUCGGUAUUCAUCAACGUAUUAGUUCAGAAAGUUAUCGAACCACCAAUUACAGUUAAGAAUAAUCAAGAAAUACUUCGCCAAAGUAUUUUAAUCGAAAUUGAAUAUGAAACAAUAUUUAUAGAUAUUUAAUUAUUACGUUGAGAUAUAAUUCAGCGUCAUAUGCCAACUGCAGUGGACGAUGAUAGGGACAUGGACUGUUGCACACAGCACUCAACGUCAUCCUUGAUGUCCGCAAACUUUACGCUCGGUGGUAUAAUAUAAUUAAUGUUUUUGGAGAGCAUCAACUGAGUAAGUAAAAACAAAAGUUGAAACAGAAGCUUGGGAUAUGUAAAAAAUAACCACGGCGUUUAAUCAUGUUUGGAAUUUUAUUAUUACCUAGCUUUGACUACACAAUUUACUUUCAUGUAUCACUUAUUUUUAAAAUAUAGUAUUUGUGUUUAUGUCGCUUAAGCAAAUUGAAACGUUUGUAGUAGUAGAGAAAAAAAGUAAAUUAGAAUAAUCUACUUUUAAAUUAAAGUGUGUACAAAAAUUAACCUUCAAUGUUUUUUAAAAAGUACCUUUGAAAAUUCAGUAUAGUCACCUGCACAGCAACUGGAUAAUAUUGCCCUCUAUUCAUUGUCAUCAGCUCCAGAUUGUGUAUCACAACUUCAUUCUUGGACUUCUUUUCAUCGAUUUUUCCAAACGCAUAGUCUUUUUCGUAUAUGCGCAGACACAAGUUCACAUAUAAUAGUAAUUUAAACUGUUGAGUCAAACAGAACGUAAACUCUAAUGCUCGAUAUUGCUCGAACGUAAGGCAUCGAGAAUUCCUAUGCAAGUAUGUAAAAUGUAUUUGACAAAGGAUAGCUAGAAAUGUCAAUUCUAUGAUAGUUACUAAAUUUUAGACAGGCAUAAUAAACAUUUAUUCGUAUCAUAUAGAAAUAAUUUAGCAAAUUUGUAGAAUUAUUCAAAUAGCAUAUAAACUGAAAUCGAUAUUCAUGCAUGCCAAUUGACCACUUACAAUUUAGUAUAUUAUAAAAAUAAUUUUUUGUAGAAUACUAAAAUUCAUAUCAUUUCAGAUAUUUCAGAUAUUAUUUGUAAGAUUUUUUACGAGUCGUGAUCGAUUUUAUUUCCUUUUAAUUCUUACCCUGGUAGAAAUGACCCUAAGAACUGGCCAGUUACUAGCCUGUUCUUAGACUCAUUUCUACCAGGGUUAAGUAAAUAAAAUAAAUCAGUAGAAAUAAGUAUAUAAAUCUCUUGGUUACCGCUCUCCGUUCUUUAGCUUUGUUAAGUUCUCUUGAAAGUUCAGUAGCCAUUUGCACAACAACCGGAUCGCAUUGUGUACUAUUCAAUUGUGACACCUGUUCCACAUUAUGUACCAGAGCAUCAUUCUUGCACAUGUGUCGCACCAUGUUAUCAAACGGAUCUUCGUGUCUUCGAUGGCCCAUUUUGUUUGGAAAUUCUUAUUUCAUAAAAAAACCAGACAGAAGUAUCGAGCUUUGGAGACUCGGCGCCGUUAUUCCGUAAUACGAAACCCUUCAGCAAGUAGAUGACGCAUGACGCUUGCGCAGACUUCCCUUAAACAGUAUCGGUGUUGGUAGUUGUGAUAAAGAAUUUGUGCCUGAAGAG